CCAGGACAGCAGAAACAAUAAUUAGUGCAAAGGCGUGUGGGGAAUGUCUCGCUCGCACCGAGGACAGCGCGGAGCCGCACCACCCACGAGGCAUCACUGGGAUGAUGACUUAAUUGAAAAGAGUUGCUCAAGCAUGUACCAGGCCUGGCACAGAGUGAGAAACUUCUGCUUCAGCUGGUUGCAUUCAUGUGCUCAGGCCACUUCAGCACUUCAGAUCCCAAAUGAAACAAGAAAUGGGAGGAUGCAGAGCAAAGUCCAUGAGUACACAGGCGAGAGGUGGAGUGUUCUACUUCAUUCCAGGGAACAGGAAUCAUAUCUGUACUUUCCUGAGACAUGGCUGGAAAGAAAGAAGGAAUCCUAUGGGCAUUCCCACUGGUGA
rnacentral:lncRNA from 1 species